AGAGGGGAGGCUGUGUAGAGAAUACUAUGUUGCUGGUGUAAUAGAGGUGGAGGCUGUGUAGAGAAUACUAUGUUGCUGGUGUAAUAGAGGUGGAGGCUGUGUAGAGAAUACUAUGUUGCUGGUGUAAUAGAGGGAGAGGCUGUGUAGAGAAUACUAUGUUGCUGGUGUAAUAGAGGUGGAGGCUGUGUAGAGAAUACUAUGUUGCUGGUGUAAUAUAGGUGGAGGCUGUGUAGAGAAUACUAUGUGGCUGGUGUCAGAGAGGGAGGUAACUCUGCACAGACAAUUGUUGCACCUCAAAUGAUGUGGCCACUUGUUGCUCUGAUAACUGCAAGAGCGUGCAUGCAGA